UGAGUAACACGUGGGUAACCUGCCUGUAAGACUGGGAUAACUCGGGAAACCGGGGCUAAUACCGGAUAACUUUUUUCUUCGCAUGARGGAGAAUUGAAAGAUGGCYUCGGCUAUCACUUACAGAUGGACCCGCGGCGCAUUAGCUAGUUGGUGAGGUAACGGCUCACCAAGGCGACGAUGCGUAGCCGACUUGAGAGGGUGAUCGGCCACACUGGGACUGAGACACGGCCCAGACUCCUACGGGAGGCAGCAGUAGGGAAUCUUCCGCAAUGGACGAAAGUCUGACGGAGCAACGCCGCGUGAGUGAUGAAGGUUUUCGGAUCGUAAAACUCUGUUGUUAAACAAGUAUCGUUCGAAUAGGGCGGUACCUCGGUACCUAACCAGAAGCCACGGCUAACUACGUGCCAGCAGCCGCGGUAAUACGUAGGUGGCAAGCGUUGUCGGAAUAUUGGGCGUAAAGCGCGCGCAGGCGGUUUCUUAAGUCUGAUGUGAAAUCUUGCGGCUCAACCGCAAGCCAUUGGAAACUGGGAGACUUGAGUGCAGAAGAGGAGAGUGGAAGUCCACGUGUAGCGGUGAAAUGCGUAGAGAUGUGGAGGAACACCAGUGGCGAAGGCGACUCUCUGGUCUGUAACUGACGCUGAGGCGCGACAGCGUGGGGAGCGAACAGGAUUAGAUACCCUGGUAGUCCACGCCGUAAACGAWRARUGSUAAGUGUUAGAGGGUUUCCGCCCUUUAGUGCUGCAGCUAACGGCAUUAAGCAYUCCG
rnacentral:rRNA from 2 species